rnacentral:rRNA from 1 species
GAUGAACGCUGGCGGCGUGCCUAAUACAUGCAAGUCGAACGAGGUGCUUGAGUAGCAAUACAAGAGUAUCCUAGUGGCGAACGGGUGAGUAACGCGUGGGUGACCUGCCCCGAAGUGUGGGAUAACAGUCCGAAAGGAUUGCUAAUACCUCAUGUGGUUAUCGGAUUUAGAAACUGAUAACUAAAGCAGCAAUGCGCUUUGGGAGGGACCUGCGUCCCAUCAGCUAGUUGGUGAGGUAAUGGCUCACCAAGGCUACGACGGGUAGGGGACCUGAGAGGGUGGCCCCCCACAAUGGAACUGAAACACGGUCCAUACACCUACGGGUGGCAGCAGUAGGGAAUAUUGCACAAUGGGCGAAAGCCUGAUGCAGCAACGCCGCGUGUGCGAUGAAGGCCUUGGUCGUAAGCACUUUUCUGAGAGAU